rnacentral:rRNA from 1 species
CCUACGGGGGGUUGCAGUGGGGAAUAUUGGACAAUGGGGGGAACCCUGAUCCAGCCAUGCCGCGUGUGUGAAGAAGGCCCUCGGGUUGUAAAGCACUUUCAGUGAGGAAGAACGCCUGGUGGUUAAUACCCAUCAGGAAAGACAUCACUCACAGAAGAAGCACCGGCUAACUCCGUGCCAGCAGCCGCGGUAAUACGGAGGGUGCGAGCGUUAAUCGGAAUUACUGGGCGUAAAGCGCGCGUAGGUGGCUUGAUAAGCCGGUUGUGAAAGCCCCGGGCUCAACCUGGGAACGGCAUCCGGAACUGUCAAGCUAGAGUGCAGGAGAGGAAGGUAGAAUUCCCGGUGUAGCGGUGAAAUGCGUAGAGAUCGGGAGGAAUACCAGUGGCGAAGGCGGCCUUCUGGACUGACACUGACACUGAGGUGCGAAAGCGUGGGUAGCAAACAGGAUUAGAUACCCUAGUAGUC